AGCGAACGCUGGCGGCAGGCCUAACACAUGCCAGUCGAACGAACCUUUCGGGGUUAGUGGCGGACGGGUGAGUAACACGUGGGAACGUGCCUUUAGGUUCGGAAUAACUCAGGGAAACUUGUGCUAAUACCGAAUGUGCCCUUCGGGGGAAAGAUUUAUCGCCUUUAGAGCGGCCCGCGUCUGAUUAGCUAGUUGGUUGAGGUAAUGGCUCACCAAGGCGACGAUCAGUAGCUGGUCUGAGAGGAUGACCAGCCACAUUGGGACUGAGACACGGCCCAAACUCCUACGGGAGGCAGCAGUGGGGAAUCUCGCGCAAUGGGCGAAAGCCUGACGCAGCCAUGCCGCGUGAAUGAUGAAGGUCUUAGGAUUGUAAAAUUCUUUCACCGGGGACGAUAAUGACGGUACCCGGAGAAGAAGCCCCGGCUAACUUCGUG
rnacentral:rRNA from 1 species